rnacentral:rRNA from 1 species
CGCGUGGCAUUUAUUAGAAAAUACCAACUUGUUGUAGGGCGUGAGCUUUAGGAGCGUCUCAUAACUGAGCAGAUCGUAUGGCCUUGAGCUGACGACAUUUCGAUUGAAUUUCUGCCCUAUCAACUUGUGUCGGUAGUUGUAUGUGGACUACCGAGGUUGUAACGGGUAACGGGGAAUCAGGGUUCGAUUCCGGAGAGGGAGCCUGAGAAACGGCUACCACAUCCAAGGAAGGCAGCAGGCGCGCAAAUUACCCAAUCCAGACAGUGGGAGGUGGCGACGAGAAGUAUUGAAUGGCGGCCGUAAGGCUUGCCAGUUCGAAAUGAGUUCAAUUUAAGCAAUUGAAACGAGCAACUACUGGAGGGCAAGUCUGGUGCCAGCAGCCGCGGUAAUUCCAGCUCCAGCAGCGUAUCUCAAAGCUGCCGCUUGUUUUUGAAACGCUCGCUAGUUGGAUGAUUUACCAUGUAUCGGUUCGGGCCCUAGUGGGCGUUGACCAAGUAGCGAAUCGUUACUAGUUGCGUGCUGCUGUCUUCAUGUUGCCGGUGCAUGGUGAUUUCACGUGAGGAUGGCUGUUGACCUUGAGUGUGUCGACGGCUGUGUCUUGCGGGGUGUGCCUUGAGUAAAUCAGAGUGCUUAAAGCAGGCUAACGUCUGAAUGUUGAUAGCAUGGAACGAACAAUUGUGAAAG